GCUCGGAUGGCGAAAUGGGUAGACGCGAGGGACUUAAAAUCCCUUUCGGGAUAACCGAGUGCCGGUUCGAGUCCGGCUCCGAGCA
rnacentral:tRNA from 1 species